rnacentral:rRNA from 1 species
CGAGCGGUAACAGGGGUAGCUUGCUACCCGCUGACGAGCGGCGGACGGGUGAGUAAUGCAUAGGAAUUUACCCGAUAGUGGGGGAUAACCUGGGGAAACCCAGGCUAAUACCGCAUACGUCCUACGGGAGAAAGGGGGCUUCGGCUCCCGCUAUCGGAUGAGCCUAUGCCGGAUUAGCUGGUUGGUGAGGUAAUGGCUCACCAAGGCGACGAUCCGUAGCUGGUCUGAGAGGACGAUCAGUCACACUGGGACUGAGACACGGCCCAGACUCCUACGGGAGGCAGCAGUGGGGAAUCUUGCACAAUGGGGUCACCCCUGAUGCAGCCAUGCCGCGUGGAGGAAGACACCCCUAUGGGGCGUAAACUCCUUUUCUGAGAGAAGAAGCCCCUGUAGGUUCAGGGCGUGACGGUAUCUCAGGAAUAAGCACCGGCUAACUCCGUGCCAGCAGCCGCGGUAAUACGGAGGGUGCAAGCGUUGUCCGGAAUCACUGGGCGUAAAGGGUGCGCAGGCGGGGCAGCAAGUCGGAGGUGAAAGCCCGUGGCUCAACCACGGAAGUGCCUUCGAAACUGUUGCUCUAGAGUCCCGGAGAGGUUGCCGGAAUUCGUGGUGUAGCGGUGAAAUGCGUAGAUAUCACGAGGAACACCAGAGGCGAAAGCGGGCAACUGGACGGGUACUGACGCUCAGGCACGAAAGCGCGGGGAGCAAACAGGAUUAGAUA